GCAUAUCAAUAAGCGGAGGAAAAGAAACUAACAAGGAUUCCCCUAGUAACGGCGAGUGAAGCGGGAAGAGCUCAAAUUUGAAAUCUGGUAGCCUUCGGUUGCCCGAGUUGUAAUCUAGAGAAGUGUUUUCCGUGCCGGCCCAUGUACAAGUCCCUUGGAACAGGGCGUCAUAGAGGGUGAGAAUCCCGUCCUUGACAUGGACCCCCGGUGCUUUGUGAUACACUUUCAACGAGUCGAGUUGUUUGGGAAUGCAGCUCAAAAUGGGUGGUGAAUUCCAUCUAAAGCUAAAUAUUGGCGAGAGACCGAUAGCGAACAAGUACCGUGAGGGAAAGAUGAAAAGCACUUUGGAAAGAGAGUUAAACAGUACGUGAAAUUGUUGAAAGGGAAACGAUUGAAGUCAGUCAUGCUCUUGGGACUUACCUCCCUUGAGUGGGGUCAACAUCAGUUUUGAUCGAUGGAUAAAGGCACGGGGAAGGUAGCACUCUCGGGUGAACUUAUAGCCUCGCGUCAUAUACAUUGAUUGGGACUGAGGAACGCAGCAUGCCUUAUGGCCGGGAUUCGUCCACGUACAUGCUUAGGAUGUUGACAUAAUGGCUUUAAACGACCCGUCUUGAAACACGGACC
rnacentral:rRNA from 1 species